CGACGAUCGAUAGCUGGUCUGAGAGGACGAUCAGCCACACUGGGAUUGAGAACGGCCCAGACUCCUACGGGGGGCAGCAGUGAGGAAUUUUCGUCAAUGGGGGCAACCCUGAACGAGCAACGCCGCGUGCAGGAAGAAGGUUUUCGGAUCGUAAACUGCUUUUCUCUGGGACGAGCAAGGACGGUACCAGAGGAAUCAGCCCCGGCUAACUACGUGCCAGCAGCCGCGGUAAUACGUAGGGGGCAAGCGUUGUCCGGAUUUAUUGGGCGUAAAGGGUCCGCAGGCGGUUUGGUAAGUUUGACGUGACAGUUCCUGGCUCAACUGGGAAAGUGCGUUGGAAACUGCCAGACUUGAGGGCUUCAGAGGGAUGCGGAAUUCCGGGUGGAGUGGUGAAAUGCGUAGAUAUCCGGAGGAACACCAAAGGCGAAGGCAGCAUCCUGGGAAGUCGCUGACGCCCAGGGACGAAAGCUAGGGGAGCGAACGGGAUUAGAUACCCCGGUAGUCCUAGCCGUAAACGAUGACCACUAGACGUAAGAGGUAUCGACCCCCCUUGUGUCGCAGUUUACACGAUAAGUGGUCCGCCUGGGGAGUACGGUCGCAAGAUUA
rnacentral:rRNA from 1 species